rnacentral:sRNA from 1 species
CAGUAGAUGCACCCUGAUGAAUUUCCCUUGGCAAAAGCUAGGGGAUUUUUUU